AAGUCGUAACAAGGUUUCCGUAGGUGAACCUGCGGAAGGAUCAUUAACGAAUAACUAUGGUGUUGGUUGUAGCUGGCUCCUCGGAGCAAUGUGCACGCCCGCCAUUUUUAUCUUUCCACCUGUGCACUCAAUGUAGGCCUGGAUAACUCUCGCUUUUGAGCGGAUACAAGGAUUGCUUUCGAGCUCUCUUUGAAUUUCCAGGUCUAUGUCCCUUUACACACCCCAAUCGUAUAACGAAGAAUGUAGUCAAUGGGCUUCUAUGCCUAUAAAUCAAAAUACAACUUUCAGCAACGGAUCUCUUGGCUCUC
rnacentral:misc_RNA from 1 species